rnacentral:tRNA from 1 species
GCUGGUGUGGCUCAGUGGUUAGGGUGCCUGUCAGACACGCAUGAGGCCCUAAGUUCGAGUCCUACUACAGGUC